AGAGUUUGAUCCUGGCUCAGAUUGAACGCUGGCGGAAUGCUUUACACAUGCAAGUCGAACGGUAGAGGGGGCAACCCCUUGAGAGUGGCGAACGGGUGAGUAAUGUAUCGGAACGUGCCCAGUCGUGGGGGAUAACGUAGUGAAAAUUACGCUAAUACCGCAUACGAUCUAUGGAUGAAAGCGGGGGAUCGCAAGACCUCGCGCGAUUGGAGCGGCCGAUAUCAGAUUAGGUAGUUGGUGGGGUAAAGGCUCACCAAGCCAACGAUCUGUAGCUGGUCUGAGAGGACGACCAGCCACACUGGAACUGAGACACGGUCCAGACUCCUACGGGAGGCAGCAGUGGGGAAUUUUGGACAAUGGACGCAAGUCUGAUCCAGCCAUUCCGCGUGCAGGACGAAGGCCUUCGGGUUGUAAACUGCUUUUGUACGGAACGAAAAAGCUCUUAUUAAUACUAGGAGUCCAUGACGGUACCGUAAGAAUAAGCACCGGCUAACUACGUGCCAGCAGCCGCGGUAAUACGUAGGGUGCAAGCGUUAAUCGGAAUUACUGGGCGUAAAGCGUGCGCAGGCGGUUAUAUAAGACAGACGUGAAAUCCCCGAGCUUAACUUGGGAACUGCAUUUGUGACUGUAUAGCUAGAGUACGGCAGAGGGGGAUGGAAUUCCGCGUGUAGCAGUGAAAUGCGUAGAUAUGCGGAGGAACACCGAUGGCGAAAGGCAAUCCCCCUGGGCCUGUACUGACGCUUCAUGCACGAAAAGCGUGGGGGAGCAAAACAGGAUUAGAUACCCCUGGUAGUCCACGCCCCUAAAACGAUGUCAACUGG
rnacentral:rRNA from 1 species